ACACCGGCAGCCCGAGUGGUGGCCACUAUUAUUGGGCCUAAAGCGUCCGUAGCCGGUCCGGUAAGUCCCUGUGGAAAUCCUCAGGCUCAACCUGAGGAAAUGCGGGGAUACUGCCGGACUCGGGGCCGGGAGACGCGGAGGGUACUCCAGGGGUAGCGGUGAAAUGCUGUAAUCCCUGGGGGACCACCAGUGGCGAAGGCGCUCCGCGAGAACGGGCCCGACGGUGAGGGACGAAAGCCAGGGGAGCGAACGGGAUUAGAUACCCUAGUAGUCC
rnacentral:rRNA from 1 species